rnacentral:rRNA from 1 species
CCCUUAGAUGUUCUGAACCGCACGCGUGUUACACUGAUGCAUUCAACGAGCUUUACCUUGGCCGAGAGGCCUGGGAAAUCUUUUUAGCAUGCAUCGUGAUAGGGAUUGAUUAUUGCAAUUAUUAAUCAUGAACGAGGAAUUCCUAGUAAACGCAUUUCAUCAAAAUGCAUUGAUUACGUCCCUGCCCUUUGUACACACCGCCCGUCGCACCUACCGAUUGAGUGGUCCGGUGAAGUCUCGAGAUUGUGGCAAUCUCCUUUAUUGGAGUUUGACUGCGAGAACUUGCCUAAACCUUAUCACUUAGAAGAAGGUGAAGUCGUAACA